GCACUGGCAUGUCAUGCCCAAGACAGGCAAAAUGUUUGUCGAUAAACUAGUCAUGUCUGGAUUCCGCUUGCCUGAAGAGUAUAGAUAAGGAUAGGUCUUUGCUGUACUCGUUUUUUAGCUGUAACUUGUGACAUUUAAUCUGAGAUGAUAAAGUUCGGCGGAAUUAAAACAAUGAAAAAACUAGAAACAAAAAAAAAAAAACGGAUGUCGUU
rnacentral:misc_RNA from 1 species